AGUCUCUUCCAGGCAGCCCUCCCUCCUCUCUCCUCCUCAGCAACCUUCUGUGGCCGUGAGGAGGGGCUUCGUAUAUCAUGUAAACUUCCCGUCUCCAAGACCUGGGACGGCUCUCCCUUCCACUCAACACCCGGCCUUUCUUCCUCCCUCCAGGAAGGAAGGAUCCAUUCAGAGGAAACUGCUGCACACCUGGGCCCAACCUAGAGGAAGCAGGUGGCUGGAAGCCAGGCCUUGAGGUGUGCCAGCCACAGCUGCUUCUUGGCACUCACUGUACCUACCCUCUUCUGCCAUGAUGGGUACGGACACCCUCCACUGUUCUGUUCAGGAAAUCAUGGGCUGAGCCCUCUGAAACUGUGAGCUGAAGUAAAUCACCCCUUCCCUUAUACCGUGUGAAACUAAUCCACCCUGCUCACAUGAAGGAGAACUGGACUGCACAGAAACUUGUAGAAGUAAUGACGCAUGGCUUUUGAGACAAGUUGCGAAGCAACGUUGUACCAUAUGCCCAGCUAGAUCUCCCAAGCUCUCUCUGAGAACCGCAUCCACAUGCCAUGAAAAUAUCAGUAUAGAGAAGCUGAGGCCUCCUGCCAACAGCCUAGCCCAGGCUACCACACGUGGGAAACAGACUUUUUAGAGCUGACCCCUCCCCACCCCAGUCUGUCACAAUCAAGCACCAGAUGCCAAUGGACGUUUGGAUGGCGAUCUCAUAAGAGACCUCAGACUACAGCCACCCUGCCUGACCUCUUCUGAACCUCAACCGUAAGAGACUGGGAGGUGAUAGCCAGCAGGAAGUAGGAGAAAUCUCCAGAAGUUCAAAGGGUAGCCUGAGAAGCCCAUCAACACAGCCUGAGAUCCUGAAAACACCUCCCUCAUCCAGUGACCGGAUGUCAGGAUUCAGGACUCCUGCAGCAUUUGCUACCCCAAAACUUCAAUUUUAAAAUCAGUAAGUAGAAAGCUUAGGUUCAAAUCCAACUCAGCUCCCAUGAGUCCACAUAAGCUACCCUCCGCUUGCAUGUUAAUCCUCAGGAUGAGGCUUAAAGUAAAUGCAUGAACUAUGGUGUCCUCUGAGGGACAAACGAAGGCUGAGUGUGAUGUCAUUCUGCCUGAAUUCUGACUGCUUAAUGCUGUCAAAGACGACACAGAAAAGCAUGAGACAUUAAAUGCCCACAGAUGGAAAUUCAUCUGUGUUAAGAGGUUCUGAGCUACACAUAAGGACUGACUGCUCCCAAUCUUUCCAGAAGGCUAAUGCAUGAGGUAUGUUCUCCAGGAAGGAAAACAAGGGGCUGCCAAGGUGGCCUGUGAAAAAGCCAAGAGUGUCCACCAUGUGUGAAUCAGACUGCUAACAAAGUAACAGAUGACAUCGGCCAGUGACCACACACACACACACACACACACACACACACACACAUACACACACACACACCGCCUACAACCCUAGGGCACUCACACAGGAAAAGAGCCCCUCCCUUCCCAAACCUGCUAUAACUGCAAAGAAAAUAAGCUAAAAUAAAAACACUUAACCAAAAUGGCUCCUUAACGGGUGCCCCGAAGUGUGACCGUGAAUGUCCUUCAGAGCGUCCAGAUCUCCCUGAUCAACAUCGAGAAGGUUCAAGACAGCUCAGAAGCACGUAACGGUUUAGGAAGCACUGCUCUGGAAGGUUCCCUGAGACCCCAGGAUGAGUUGUGUAAAGGAAGCCCUGACUUUGAAACUAACUCAGCCCAGAUAUGAGAGUGCUAACUGCAGCCUGUCCCACAGCGCCAACAUGGUCUGUCAAUAAUCAA